AAGUUUUAGUUUAGUCUCUACACACCUUUUUAUUUUUUGACACACUUGUUAAUAUUAUACACAUAUUGUACAUUUGUUCAGACUGUUAGCUCUGGUGCACACAUACUGGAUCGGCACUGCCUGGUUGGUCUGCACCUCACAAAAGAUGAUCCUCCGAGUCAAACGCCAGGAUAUCAAACCCUGCUGUCACACACAGAGGAAGCUGAGCGUCCAGAGAAAAUAAAUGCACUGACGUCAAAUAUCUUCAGGGCACUGAGGCUGGAGUGGGACGGGACAGUUUGUGCCAGUCGGUGACUCAGACUGUCAUCAGUCUCCUCCCCUUCCCGGAGAUGCACCAUGUCCCCCAUUAACCAGUGGGUGACUCCAGACUGGUUCUGGUGUCGAGGGGAGCCACCGUUUGGCACUUGCAGGUUGGACUCACAGCUGCGGCUGUUCUUGACGGGCUCUGGAGCC